GACGAACGCUGGCGGCGUGCUUAACACAUGCAAGUCGAACGGAAAGGCCCUGCUUGCAGGGUACUCGAGUGGCGAACGGGUGAGUAACACGUGGGUGAUCUGCCCUGCACUUCGGGAUAAGCCUGGGAAACUGGGUCUAUUACCGGAUAGGAGCCAUUUUGAGUGUGAUGGUUGGAAAGUUUUUUCGGUGUAGGAUGAGCUCGCGGCCUAUCAGCUUGUUGGUGGGGUAAUGGCCUACCAAGGCGGCGACGGGUAGCCGGCCUGAGAGGGUGGACGGCCACAGUGGGACUGAGAGACGGCCCAGGCUCCGACUGGUGGCAGCAGUGGGGAAUAUUGAACAAUGGGCGCAGGCCUGAUGCAGCGACGCCGCGGGGGGGAUGACGGUCUUCGGGUUGUAAACUCCCUUCGCUAGGGACGAAGCUUUUUGUGACGGUACCUGGAGAAGAAGCACCGGCUAACUACGUG
rnacentral:rRNA from 1 species